rnacentral:rRNA from 1 species
AUUGAACGCUGGCGGCAGGCCUAACACAUGCAAGUCGAACGAGUGGCGGACGGGUUAGUAAUGUCUGGGAAACUGCCUGAGGGAGGGGGUUAACUACUGGACACGGUAGCUAAUACCGCAUACCAUCGGAUGUGCCCAGAUGGGAUUAGCUAGUGGGUGGGGUAACGGCUUACCUAGGCGACGAUCCCUACCUGGUCUGAGAGGAUGACCAGCCACACUGGAACUGAGACACGGUCCAGACUCCUACGGGAGGCAGCAGUGGGGAAUAUUGCACAAUGGGCGAAAGCCUGAUACAGCCAUGCCGCGUGUAUGAAGAAGGCCUUCGGGUUGUAAAGUACUUUCAGCGGGGAGGCGUUACCCGCAGAAGAAGCACCGGCUAACUCCGUGCCAGCCGCCGCGGUAAUAC